CCGCGCCGGCGCCAGGAGCACCAGCCGCAUCAGCAGCCUCACCCCACGCCUGCGCUGCGCCAUCCGGAACAGCACCGGCACCGCCUUCUUCCCCGACAGCCUCCUCCGCAGCCGCAGCGGCCGCCUCGCCCUCGCCCACCUGGCGGCCGACGCCGACGCCACCACCUCCUCGUCUCCGCCGUCGUCGUCGUUGCAGAGCUCGCCGCGGAGCCGCUGGUACCGGCACCUCGACGGCUGGUCCCUCGCCGUGAGCACGUCGAGGCCCAUGUGAGCUGUGAGCUAAGGUGGCAGCGAAGUUAACCAACCAACCGGCCGGUGACAGACGAGCUAGUGAGUGAGCUGUGGGCUGUGGGAAGCAUGGGGAGCAAGCGAGCCUGCGGGCGGAGGCAUAUAUAGGCGCGGACGAGGUUCCAUUAUUGAGCGCUGGCACAUGGGGAGGAACCGUGCCGGGCGAUGGAGGGCAUGCAAGUUGGAUCGGAGCAGCAUAAGAAAAAUGGCG
rnacentral:lncRNA from 1 species